rnacentral:rRNA from 1 species
CAGUCGCCGCGGGAAUACGUAGGGUGCAAGCGUUAAUCGGAAUUACUGGGCGUAAAGCGUGCGCAGGCGGUUAUAUAAGACAGAUGUGAAAUCCCCGGGCUCAACCUGGGAACUGCAUUUGUGACUGUAUAGCUAGAGUACGGCAGAGGGGGAUGGAAUUCCGCGUGUAGCAGUGAAAUGCGUAGAUAUGCGGAGGAACACCGAUGGCGAAGGCAAUCCCCUGGGCCUGUACUGACGCUCAUGCACGAAAGCAUGGGGAGCAAACAGGAUUAGAUACCCGAGUAGUCCCUGUCUCUUAUAC